rnacentral:rRNA from 1 species
GGUGAUAUGAACCGUUAUAACCGGCGAUUUCCGAAUGGGGAAACCCAGUGUGUUUCGGGAAGGUGUGCACACUAUCAUUAACUGAAUCCAUAGGUUAAUGAGGCGAACCGGGGGAACUGAAACAUCUAAGUACCCCGAGGAAAAGAAAUCAACCGAGAUUCCCCCAGUAGCGGCGAGCGAACGGGGAGGAGCCCAGAGCCUGAAUCAGUGUGUGUGUUAGUGGAAGCGUCUGGAAAGGCGUGCGAUACAGGGUGACAGCCCCGUACACAAAAAUGCACAUAUUGUGAGCUCGAUGAGUAGGGCGGGACACGUGGUAUCCUGUCUGAAUAUGGGGGGACCAUCCUCCAAGGCUAAAUACUCCUGACUGACCGAUAGUGAACCAGUACCGUGAGGGAAAGGCGAAAAGAACCCCGGCGAGGGGAGUGAAAAAGAACCUGAAACCGUGUACGUACAAGCAGUGGGAGCCUCUUAAUGGGGUGACUGCGUACCUUUUGUAUAAUGGGUCAGCGACUUAUAUUCUGUAGCAAGGUUAACCGAAUAGGGGAGCCGAAGGGAAACCGAGUCUUAACUGGGCGUUAAGUUGCAGGGUAUAGACCCGAAACCCGGUGAUCUAGCCAUGGGCAGGUUGAAGGUUGGGUAACACUAACUGGAGGACCGAACCGACUAAUGUUGAAAAAUUAGCGGAUGACUUGUGGCUGGGGGUGAAAGGCCAAUCAAACCGGGAGAUAGCUGGUUCUCCCCGAAAGCUAUUUAGGUAGCGCCUCGUGAAUUCAUCUCCGGGGGUAGAGCACUGUUUCGGCAAGGGGGUCAUCCCGACUUACCAACCCGAUGCAAACUGCGAAUACCGGAGAAUGUUAUCACGGGAGACACACGGCGGGUGCUAACGUCCGUCGUGAAGAGGGAAACAACCCAGACCGCCAGCUAAGGUCCCAAAGUCAUGGUUAAGUGGGAAACGAUGUGGGAAGGCCCAGACAGCCAGGAUGUUGGCUUAGAAGCAGCCAUCAUUUAAAGAAAGCGUAAUAGCUCACUGGUCGAGUCGGCCUGCGCGGAAGAUGUAACGGGGCUAAACCAUGCACCGAAGCUGCGGCAGCGACACUAUGUGUUGUUGGGUAGGGGAGCGUUCUGUAAGCCUGUGAAGGUGGCCUGUGAGGGUUGCUGGAGGUAUCAGAAGUGCGAAUGCUGACAUAAGUAACGAUAAAGCGGGUGAAAAGCCCGCUCGCCGGAAGACCAAGGGUUCCUGUCCAACGUUAAUCGGGGCAGGGUGAGUCGACCCCUAAGGCGAGGCCGAAAGGCGUAGUCGAUGGGAAACAGGUUAAUAUUCCUGUACUUGGUGUUACUGCGAAGGGGGGACGGAGAAGGCUAUGUUGGCCGGGCGACGGUUGUCCCGGUUUAAGCGUGUAGGCUGGUUUUCCAGGCAAAUCCGGAAAACCAAGGCUGAGGCGUGAUGACGAGGCACUACGGUGCUGAAGCGACAAAUGCCCUGCUUCCAGGAAAAGCCUCUAAGCAUCAGGUAACAUCAAAUCGUACCCCAAACCGACACAGGUGGUCAGGUAGAGAAUACCAAGGCGCUUGAGAGAACUCGGGUGAAGGAACUAGGCAAAAUGGUGCCGUAACUUCGGGAGAAGGCACGCUGAUAUGUAGGUGAAGCGACUUGCUCGUGGAGCUGAAAUCAGUCGAAGAUACCAGCUGGCUGCAACUGUUUAUUAAAAACACAGCACUGUGCAAACACGAAAGUGGACGUAUACGGUGUGACGCCUGCCCGGUGCCGGAAGGUUAAUUGAUGGGGUUAGCGGCAACGCGAAGCUCUUGAUCGAAGCCCCGGUAAACGGCGGCCGUAACUAUAACGGUCCUAAGGUAGCGAAAUUCCUUGUCGGGUAAGUUCCGACCUGCACGAAUGGCGUAAUGAUGGCCAGGCUGUCUCCACCCGAGACUCAGUGAAAUUGAACUCGCUGUGAAGAUGCAGUGUACCCGCGGCAAGACGGAAAGACCCCGUGAACCUUUACUAUAGCUUGACACUGAACAUUGAGCCUUGAUGUGUAGGAUAGGUGGGAGGCUUUGAAGUGUGGACGCCAGUCUGCAUGGAGCCGACCUUGAAAUACCACCCUUUAAUGUUUGAUGUUCUAACGUUGGCCCGUAAUCCGGGUUGCGGACAGUGUCUGGUGGGUAGUUUGACUGGGGCGGUCUCCUCCUAAAGAGUAACGGAGGAGCACGAAGGUUGGCUAAUCCUGGUCGGACAUCAGGAGGUUAGUGCAAUGGCAUAAGCCAGCUUGACUGCGAGCGUGACGGCGCGAGCAGGUGCGAAAGCAGGUCAUAGUGAUCCGGUGGUUCUGAAUGGAAGGGCCAUCGCUCAACGGAUAAAAGGUACUCCGGGGAUAACAGGCUGAUACCGCCCAAGAGUUCAUAUCGACGGCGGUGUUUGGCACCUCGAUGUCGGCUCAUCACAUCCUGGGGCUGAAGUAGGUCCCAAGGGUAUGGCUGUUCGCCAUUUAAAGUGGUACGCGAGCUGGGUUUAGAACGUCGUGAGACAGUUCGGUCCCUAUCUGCCGUGGGCGCUGGAGAACUGAGGGGGGCUGCUCCUAGUACGAGAGGACCGGAGUGGACGCAUCACUGGUGUUCGGGUUGUCAUGCCAAUGGCACUGCCCGGUAGCUAAAUGCGGAAGAGAUAAGUGCUGAAAGCAUCUAAGCACGAAACUUGCCCCGAGAUGAGUUCUCCCUGACUCCCGAGAGUCCUGAAGGAACGUUGAAGACGACGACGUUGAUAGGCCGGGUGUGUAAGCGCAGCGAUGCGUUGAGCUAACCGGUACUAAUGAACCGUGAGGCUUAACCUU